AUGGUACAGAUAGUUUGUUGCCUGGGAGUACCUACGCUCUCUCAUACUUAAAGGAAUUGGCGGGGGAGCACAAGGGCUUUUCUCGUUCUUGCCUUCAAUUCCCCCUAAAGUGAUUCUUAUUACAUUUCACUGGCCGUCGUUUUACGACGUAUGGGCUGCCGGGAAUUCUGCAUAACUAGGAAGUGGGAGAGGUAGACGGUACUCGGUAGGAAGGGGUAAAAUCCUUUGAUCUAUUGAUGACCACCUGUGGCGAACGCGGUCUACCAGAACACGUUCGACGGUGAGGGAUGAAAGCUGGGGGAGCAAACCGGAUUAGAUACCCGGGUAGUCCCAGCUGUAAACUAUGCAAACUCAGUGAUGCAUUGGCUUAUGGCCAAUGCAGUGCUGCAGGGAAGCCGUUAAGUUUGCCGCCUGGGAAGUACGUACUGAGUAUGAAACUUACUGGAAUUGGCGGGGGAGCACAAGG
rnacentral:rRNA from 1 species